rnacentral:tRNA from 1 species
GCGUCGGUCGUCUAGUGGUUAGGAUCUUAGCCUUCCAAGCUAAGCACCAGGGUUCAAAUCCCUGUCGACGCA